rnacentral:rRNA from 1 species
UGGCGAACGGGUGAGUAACACGUGAGUAACCUGCCCUUGACUUUGGGAUAACUUCAGGAAACUGGGGCUAAUACCGGAUAGGAGCUCCUGCUGCAUGGUGGGGGUUGGAAAGUUUCGGCGGUUGAGGAUGGACUCGCGGCUUAUCAGCUUGUUGGUGGGGUAGUGGCUUACCAAGGCUUUGACGGGUAGCCGGCCUGAGAGGGUGACCGGCCACAUUGGGACUGAGAUACGGCCCAG